rnacentral:tmRNA from 1 species
UCUUCAAAUUUUAAUUAAUCGAAUGUAUAAAGAAAGUGCUGGUUUACCAGAUAUAGUGAUAAACGGUUGAUGUAAUAAACUAUUCGGACCCGGGGGCGGUACCCGGCACCUCCACCAUUUUUUAAUUUAUGGGGGUGAAAUAGGAUCGACGAGAGCGUAAAGAUCUUCUUUUUACUCGGCAUUGUUCCGCCGUUAUCGGGCUAUUUUAUAGAAGCAAAAAGCGACUAUGCAGAGUAUGCUCUCGCAGCUUAAUGUGUGAGUAACUCAACUUAACUCCUAAUUAUUUGCAUAAUUAGGCGGGGUUUGAGGGGCACCUGGCAACAGAAGCUC